ACGCUGGCGGCGUGCCUAAUACAUGCAAGUAGAACGCUGAAGGAGGAGCUUGCUUCUCCGGAUGAGUUGCGAACGGGUGAGUAACGCGUAGGUAACCUGCCUGGUAGCGGGGGAUAACUAUUGGAAACGAUAGCUAAUACCACAUAAGAGUAGAUGUCGCAUGUCAUUUGCUUAAAAGGUGCAAUUGCAUCACUACCAGAUGGACCUGCGUUGUAUUAGCUAGUUGGUGGGGUAACGGCUCACCAAGGCGACGAUACAUAGCCGACCUGAGAGGGUGAUCGGCCACACUGGGGCUGAGACACGGCCCAGACUCCUACGGGAGGCAGCAGUAGGGAAUCUUCGGCAAUGGACGGAAGUCUGACCGAGCAACGCCGUGUGAGUGAAGAAGGUUUUCGGAUCGUAAAGCUCUGUUGUAAGAGAAGAACGAGUGUGAGAGUGGAAAGUUCACACUGUGACGGUAUCUUACCAGAAAGGGACGGCUAACUACGUGCCAGCAGCCGCGGUAAUACGUAGGUCCCGAGCGUUGUCCGGAUUUAUUGGGCGUAAAGCGAGCGCAGGCGGUUAGAUAAGUCUGAAGUUAAAGGCUGUGGCUUAACCAUAGUACGCUUUGGAAACUGUUUAACUUGAGUGCAAGAGGGGAGAGUGGAAUUCCAUGUGUAGCGGUGAAAUGCGUAGAUAUAUGGAGGAACACCGGUGGCGAAAGCGGCUCUCUGGCUUGUAACUGACGCUGAGGCUCGAAAGCGUGGGGAGCAAACAGGAUUAGAUACCCCUGGUAGUCCACGCCGUAAACGAUGAGUGCUAGGUGUUAGACCCUUUCCGGGGUUUAGUGCCGCAGCUAACGCAUUAAGCACUCCGCCUGGGGAGUACGACCGCAAGGUUGAAACUCAAAGGAAUUGACG
rnacentral:rRNA from 1 species